GACGAACGCUGGCGGCGUGCUUAACACAUGCAAGUCGAACGGAAAGGCCCUGCUUUUGUGGGGUGCUCGAGUGGCGAACGGGUGAGUAACACAUGAGUAACCUGGCCUUGACUUUGGGAUAACUUCAGGAAACUGGUGCUAAUACCUGAUUGGAGCUCCUGCUGCAUGGUGGGGGUUGGAAAGUUUCGGCGGUUGGGGAUGGACUCGCGGCUUAUCAGCUUGUUGGUGGGGGACUGGCUUACCAACGCUUUGACGGGUAGCCGGCAUGAGAGGGUGACCGGCGACAUUGGGACUGAGAGACGGCGCAGUCUGCUACGGGAGGCAGCAGGGGAGAACCUUGCACAACGAGGGGAAGUGUGAGGCAGCAACGUUGGGAUUGUGAUGCCGGCCUUCGUGGGGGAAAGCGCUGUCGCCUGUUACGAAGCUUGAGUGACGUUAAUGGGUAAAGAAGCACCGGCUAACUACGUG
rnacentral:rRNA from 1 species